AUCCGGCCCCAACACUUGAAAACAAAAUUAACGGGAAACGCUCGUCAUCUUCUUCUUCCUCUUCGUCUCCGUGUUGGGAAUAUAUUUCUCUUCUCUCUCUCUUUCUCUCCCUUUUUUAUUCAUCUAUAUACAUAUAUUAUUCUUCACUGACUUCGCUCUUACAAAACCCUCUUCUUUUACUCUCUUUCUCUCUGUCUCUUCACUUUCUUUCUCAUCUCUUGGUUUCACUAUAUAAAAUGAUCGUACCCAACAAGAAGAAGAAAAAGAACAGGAGAUUACGUUGGCUCCAGAGAGCAACUGCUAUAUACAGUUUCUAGAGAUCUUUUCUUCAUUCUAAUGAAGCAUUCAGGUGAAGAAUUCACUGGACCAAACAUAUUUGGUGGCGUACAUGGGAAAGCCAGGCAUUUCUCGUCCCUUCUUGUUCUUCUUGUUCUUGAUCUUCUUUUUUUUUUUUUUCUGGUUUUUAAUGAGGGAUGAAUUGAGAUAGUUAAUUACAAGAAAUAUCUGUAAACUGUUUGUUAGAAUUUUCAAGGCAGAUUCAUAGCAAUGGAAAGAAGGUUUGACUGCUGGUUUCCCAGAAGCAAGUUCCAUUUCAAAAUUUUACGGCUCGCAUUACGCCCGAGGCUUACUUAUUGACUUUUGGUAUUUUUAUUUAAUAUUUUUAAUAAUUUAUUGUCAACUGAUAAAUGAUUAAAUUAAUAAUAUAAUAUAUUUAAUUUGUAA